GAUGAAGAACGUAGCGAAAUGCGAUACGUAAUGUGAAUUGCAAAUUCAGUGAAUCAUCGAGUCUUUGAACGCACAUUGCGCCCCCUGGUAUUCCGGGGGGCAUGCCUGUCCGAGCGUCAUUGCUGCCCUCAAGCACGGCUUGUGUGUUGGGCCCCGUCCUCCGAUCCCGGGGGACGGGCCCGAAAGGCAGCGGCGGCACCGCGUCCGGUCCUCGAGCGUAUGGGGCUUUGUCACCCGCUCUGUAGGCCCGGCCGGCGCUUGCCGAUCAACCCAAAUUUUUUAUCCAGGUUGACCUCGGAUCAGGUAGGGAUACCCGCUGAACUUAAGCAUAUCGAUAAGCGGAGGA
rnacentral:misc_RNA from 1 species